rnacentral:rRNA from 1 species
GACGUAGGGCGCGAGCGUUGUCCGGAUUUAUUGGGCGUAAAGAGCUCGUAGGCGGUGUGUCGCGUCGGCCGUGAAAACCUGCAGCUUAACUGUGGGCGUGCGGUCGAUACGGGCAUCACUGGAGUUCGGCAGGGGAGACUGGAAUUCCUGGUGUAGCGGUGAAAUGCGCAGAUAUCAGGAGGAACACCGGUGGCGAAGGCGGGUCUCUGGGCCGAUACUGACGCUGAGGAGCGAAAAGCGUGGGGGAGCAAACAGG